rnacentral:rRNA from 1 species
UACGGAGGGUGCAAGCGUUAUCCGGAUUCACUGGGUUUAAAGGGUGCGUAGGUGGGCAGGUAAGUCAGUGGUGAAAUCUCCGGGCUUAACCCGGAAACUGCCGUUGAUACUAUCUGUCUUGAAUAUAGUGGAGGUGAGCGGAAUAUGUCAUGUAGCGGUGAAAUGCUUAGAUAUGACAUAGAACACCCAUCGCGAAGGCAGCUCGCUACACUAUCAUUGACACUGAGGCACGAAAGCGUGGGGAUCAAACAGG